rnacentral:snRNA from 1 species
AGUAAACCCGUAAGGCGCAA